UACGUAGGGUCCGAGCGUUGUCCGGAAUUAUUGGGCGUAAAGGGCUCGUAGGCGGUUCGUCACGUCGGGAGUGAAAACUCGGGGCUUAACCCCGAGCCUGCUUCCGAUACGGGCAGACUAGAGGUAGGCAGGGGAGAGCGGAACUCCUGGUGUAGCGGUGGAAUGCGCAGAUAUCAGGAAGAACACCGGUGGCGAAAGGCGGCUCUCUGGGGCCUUACCUGACGCUGAGGGAGCGAAAAGCGUGGGGUAGCGAAACAGG
rnacentral:rRNA from 1 species